AAACAAUAAAAAUGCCGACUAAUUUAUCAGCAAAAAAUAGCACCAAAGGUCACUAAUUGGAGUAAUGACUCAUCAAAUACAACUAGUAAAAUCAUGAUUGAGGGUAUCAUCAUCAUCAUCAGGAGUAAAUGAUUGAGGUACCAUUGACAAUGUCAGCUGUCAUAAACACAACAACAACAACCUUACAGCUGUCAGGAUCUUGUUUGUGACAAAGUCAUUGAGAAAUAUAAUGUCAACUGGUGCAACUGAUGAUGGUGACAGUGAUAAAUG